rnacentral:rRNA from 1 species
UACGUAGGGGGGCAAGCGUUGUCCGGAUUUAUUGGGCGUAAAGCGCGUGUAGGCGGCCAGGUAGGUCGGUUGUUGAAAACUGGAGGCUCAACCUCCAGACGUCGACCGAAACCAUCUGGCUAGAGUCCGGAAGAGGAGAGUGGAAUUCCUGGUGUAGCGGUGAAAUGCGCAGAUAUCAGGAAGAACACCGGUGGCGAAAGCGCAUCUGGCUAA